rnacentral:rRNA from 1 species
GACGAACGCUGGCGGCGUGCCUAAUACAUGCAAGUAGAACGCUGAAGGAGGAGCUUGCUCUUCUGGAUGAGUUGCGAACGGGUGAGUAACGCGUAGGUAACCUGCCUGGUAGCGGGGGAUAACUAUUGGAAACGAUAGCUAAUACCGCAUAAAAUUGAUUAUUGCAUGAUAGUCAAUUAAGAGGUGCAAUUGCAUCACUACCAGAUGGACCUGCGUUGUAUUAGCUAGUUGGUGAGGUAACGGCUCACCAAGGCAACGAUACAUAGCCGACCUGAGAGGGUGAUCGGCCACACUGGGACUGAGACACGGCCCAGACUCCUACGGGAGGCAGCAGUAGGGAAUCUUCGGCAAUGGACGGAAGUCUGACCGAGCAACGCCGCGUGAGUGAAGAAGGUUUUCGGAUCGUAAAGCUCUGUUGUAAGAGAAGAACGAGUGUGAGAGUGGAAAGUUCACACUGUGACGGUAUCUUACCAGAAAGGGACGGCUAACUACGUG